UACAGAGGGGGGCAAGCGUUAUUCGGAAUUAUUGGGCGUAAAGGGCGCGUAGGCGGCAUGGCAAGUGGAUGGUGAAAUCCCUCGGCUUAACCGAGGAACUGCCGUCCAAACUGCUUCGCUUGAGACCGGGAGAGGUGAGUGGAAUUCCCAGUGUAGCGGUGAAAUGCGUAGAUAUUGGGGAGGAACACCAGUGGCGAAGGCGGCUCACUGGACCGGUACUGACGCUGAGGCACGAA
rnacentral:rRNA from 1 species